GAACCGCAUGGUUCUACAGUGAAAGACGGUCUUGCUGUCACUUAUAGAUGGACCCGCGCCGUAUUAGCUAGUUGGUGGGGUAACGGCCUACCAAGGCGACGAUACGUAGCCGACCUGAGAGGGUGAUCGGCCACACUGGAACUGAGACACGGUCCAGACUCCUACGGGAGGCAGCAGUAGGGAAUCUUCCGCAAUGGGCGAAAGCCUGACGGAGCAACGCCGCGUGAGUGAUGAAGGUCUUCGGAUCGUAAAGCUCUGUUGUUAGGGAAGAACAAAUGUGUAAGUAACUGUGCACAUCUUGACGGUACCUAACCAGAAAGCCACGGCUAACUACGUGCCAGCAGCCGCGGUAAUACGUAGGUGGCAAGCGUUAUCCGGAAUUAUUGGGCGUAAAGCGCGCGUAGGCGGUUUUUUAAGUCUGAUGUGAAAGCCCACGGCUCAACCGUGGAGGGUCAUUGGAAACUGGAAAACUUGAGUGCAGAAGAGGAAAGUGGAAUUCCAUGUGUAGCGGUGAAAUGCGCAGAGAUAUGGAGGAACACCAGUGGCGAAGGCGGCUUUCUGGUCUGCAACUGACGCUGAUGUGCGAAAGCGUGGGGAUCAAACAGGAUUAGAUACCCUGGUAGUCCACGCCGUAAACGAUGAGUGCUAAGUGUUAGGGGGUUUCCGCCCCUUAGUGCUGCAGCUAACGCAUUAAGCACUCCGCCUGGGGAGUACGGUCGCAAGACUGAAACUCAAAGGAAUUGACGGGGACCCGCACAAGCGGUGGAGCAUGUGGUUUAAUUCGAAGCAACGCGAAGAACCUUACCAAAUCUUGACAUCCUUUGACCGCUCUAGAGAUAGAGUUUUCCUCUUCGGAGGACAAAGUGACAGGUGGUGCAUGGUUGUCGUCAGCUCGUGUCGUGAGAUGUUGGGUUAAGUCCCGCAACGAGCGCAACCCUUGAACUUAGUUGCCAUCAUUCAGUUGGGCACUCUAAGUUGACUGCCGGUGACAAACCGGAGGAAGGUGGGGAUGACGUCAAAUCAUCAUGCCCCUUAUGAUUUGGGCUACACACGUGCUACAAUGGACAAUACAAAGGGCAGCGAAACCGCGAGGUCAAGCAAAUCCCAUAAAGUUGUUCUCAGUUCGGAUUGUAGUCUGCAACUCGACUACAUGAAGCUGGAAUCGCUAGUAAUCGUAGAUCAGCAUGCUACGGUGAAUACGUUCCCGGGUCUUGUACACACCGCCCGUCACACCACGAGAGUUUGUAACACCCGAAGCCGGUGGAGUAACCAUUUUGGAGCUAGCCGUCGAAGGUGGGACAAAUGAUUGGGGUGAAGUCGUAACAAGGUAGCCGUAUCGGAAGGUGCGGCUGGAUCACCUCCUUUCUA
rnacentral:rRNA from 1 species